rnacentral:rRNA from 1 species
CACGUAGUUAGCCGUGGCCUCCUCGUAAGAUACCAUCACUUAAUGAUCAUUUCCUAUCAUUACCGUUUUUCUCUUACAACAGAGCUUUACGACCCGAAGGCCUUCUUCACUCACGCGGCAUUGCUCGUUCAGGGUUUCCCCCAUUGACGAAAAUUCCCUACUGCUGCCUCCCGUAGGAGUUUGGGCCGUGUCUCAGUCCCAAUGUGGCCGUCUACCCUCUCAGGCCGGCUACGUAUCAUCGCUUUGGUGGGCCGUUACCCCGCCAACUGGCUAAUACGCCGCAGGUCCAUCCAUGUCCGCACCCGAAGGUCCUUUAAUAUAGUCAAGAUGCCUUGUCUAUACCUAUCCGGUUUAGCAGACGUUUCCAUCUGUUAUCCCGGGUACAUGGGCAGGUUCCCUACGUGUUACUCACCCGUUCGCCACUAAGUCUGUACAAAAGCAAGCUUUCAACAGUCUUCGUUCGACUUGCAUGUAUUAGGCUAUGCCGCCGAAGCGUUCACUUCCUGUACGCCUAGGGACUACCGAAAACCUUCUACG